GAGUAAAGUUGCCCAUCUCAUUCUCAUGUCCAAAUACCCCGAAAGUCGUGCAGCCCUUACUACUUCAUCAAUGUGUUCUAAUUGAGCUUUGCAAUGAGCUUCUCUUUCUUCCAAAGCACCGAGUUCUGAUCGAAGAGAUUCUACUUCUGCAGCAGUUAAGACUACCUUUUCUUGACCAUCUGUGCCAGACAUCCAAGGUAGCUUGUUGAGGCUAAACAUAUUCAAAAUUGAAGCAGCCCCUUUCAAUUUUCUUCUAGUCCACGAUCUACUAAUGGAUCUUAAAG
rnacentral:misc_RNA from 1 species